UGGGGAUUUUUGCACAAUGGGGGAAACCCUUAUGCAGCGACGCCGCGUGAUUUAGAAGGCCUUCGGGUUGUAAAAAUCUUUUCUAUGGGAAGAAAAUGACAGUACCAUAGGAAUAAGGACCGGCUAAUUACGUGCCAGCAGCCGCGGUAAUACGUAAGGUCCGAGCGUUGUCCGGAAUCAUUGGGCGUAAAGGGUACGUAGGCGGGUAAGCAAGUUAGAAGUGAAAUCCUAUAGCUCAACUAUAGUAAGCUUUUAAAACUGCUCAUCUUGAGGUAUGGAAGGGAAAGUGGAAUUCCUAGUGUAGCGGUGAAAUGCGCGGAUAUUAGGAGGAAUACCGGUGGCGAAGGCGACUUUCUGGCCAUAACCUGACGCUGAGGUACGAAAGCGUGGGUAGCAAACAGG
rnacentral:rRNA from 1 species